GCCACAGCACCUCCGUGCUUAUUCCUGUAACAUUAAACCUUCCAUUGUCUUACGCCUUGUAUGAGCUGUAUAAUGUACUGGCUGAUUGAUACAUUGUAACAUAUCGAAGAUUGUGCUGAGGUUUGCAGUUUUGAAGUCCCAAGAGCAGUGAUAAGCUAUUCUGGAUAUUUCCCUCCAUGUUAGUUAACUGCUCAUUCAGGUGUUGUAAUACCUCACUAACCCAGUCCUGAAGUCAGAGAAUCCCUCUUUUAAAAACACCU